rnacentral:tRNA from 1 species
GCACCCGGAGAGCGGCGGGCUGCAGACCCGUAGGUCCCGGGUUCAAAUCCCGGCCGGGGCU